rnacentral:piRNA from 1 species
UAAAAUGNGCCCUUGUGGCUGCAGGGUUUU